rnacentral:ncRNA from 1 species
GCAGAGUAGAAUGCUGUGCGUUAAGUGCCGCCGGGACGGGGAGUUGCCCGGGGGACGAAGAAGAUGAUUCGCGGUGCAGCAUUCGCAUCCCGCUGC